CUGUGCAGCUCACCUUGAACUAGACAAUAAGUUCUUUUGGAAACCUCUGGGGAUUUUUUGCUGAAAUGGCUUAACUUAAGGCAACAUGAAAAGAUUGCUGGAUGUGGAAAGAACUUUGUAGUGCACUGCAUCACGAUUG
rnacentral:lncRNA from 12 species